rnacentral:ncRNA from 1 species
AAUAGUUAUCGGUUCCCGAUUUAACGAGUCGGGAUUAAAAGGGAAUUAGGUCAGAGUCCUAAGCAACCGCCAUUACCGUAUUUGACGAAAGACAUACCUAGGCAAUGAGUAGUAAUCCAAACCGUGGUUAAAAUUGGGUAUCAAGCGAAGUUCUGAAAACUUCUAUAUCAUAAGUCGGGAUACCUGCCGAAAAUC